GGUAUUCUUUUCAAAUCUACUUUAGUUUUUGUUGUGAUUGUGGUAGGCGCCAACCAUGAGCAGCACUAUGAAAGUGAAUUUUGAGAAGUUUGAUGUGGAGGGAAGCUUUACAAUGUGGAAGGCUAAGAUAGAGGACUUCUUGGUCCAAAAUGAGUUGGAUCUGGCCUUGGAAGAUAGGCCAAAAGGGAUGACAGAUAGGUA
rnacentral:lncRNA from 1 species